rnacentral:rRNA from 1 species
ACUUGCUCUUGGGUGACGAGUGGCGGACGGGUGAGUAAUGUCUGGGGAUCUGCCCGAUAGAGGGGGAUAACCACUGGAAACGGUGGCUAAUACCGCAUAACGUCGCAAGACCAAAGAGGGGGACCUUCGGGCCUCUCACUAUCGGAUGAACCCAGAUGGGAUUAGCUAGUAGGCGGGGUAAUGGCCCACCUAGGCGACGAUCCCUAGCUGGUCUGAGAGGAUGACCAGCCACACUGGAACUGAGACACGGUCCAGACUCCUACGGGAGGCAGCAGUGGGGAAUAUUGCACAAUGGGCGCAAGCCUGAUGCAGCCAUGCCGCGUGUAUGAAGAAGGCCUUCGGGUUGUAAAGUACUUUCAGCGGGGAGGAAGGCGAUGGGGUUAAUAACCUUAUCGAUUGACGUUACCCGCAGAAGAAGCACCGGCUAACUCCGUGCCAGCAGCCGCGGUAAUACGGAGGGUGCAAGCGUUAAUCGGAAUUACUGGGCGUAAAGCGCAC